rnacentral:rRNA from 1 species
GGCGGACGGGUGAGUACGCGUGAGUAACCUGCCUUUCAGAGGGGGAUACAGUUGGAAACGACUGCUAAUACCGCAUAACGUAUUGAGAUCGCAUGGUCUUGAUACCAAAGCUGAGGCGCUGAAAGAUGGACCCGCGUCUGAUUAGCUAGUUGGUGAGGUAACGGCUCACCAAGGCCACGAUCAGUAGCCGACUUGAGAGAGUGAUCGGCCACAUUGGGACUGAGACACGGCCCAAACUCCUACGGGAGGCAGCAGUGGGGAAUAUUGCACAAUGGGGGAAACCCUGAUGCAGCGACGCCGCGUGAGCGAUGAAGUAUUUCGGUAUGUAAAGCUCUAUCAGCAAGGAAGAUAAUGACGGUACUUGACUAAGAAGCCCCGGCUAACUACGUG